CUGAUGAAAAAUCACCAAAAUCAAGGAUGUAGUUAGGACUUUCUUGCUGAGUGCGGCAGUAAGAGUGAAGAUUGUUUUUCUACCGUGUAUAUCUUUAGCGUAAAAUACCAACAUAAUACCGUAUAUAUCUAUUCAUAGCUCAUCUAUCUCCCUACAUUCUCUUAAUCGUAAGAUAAAACAAAUACGUUUAGAGCCACUGCUGGAGCCGCGACAAUAAUUACUCCAGGAGCAGCGCUGCGCCGUCCAGGGAGGAAUAUUGGCACACCAUCGUGCUCAGGAAUCUCGACUCCGACUUUGGGACGAAAUCAUCAACGAGAUACAAUCCGAAAACCCUUUCCAAAGCUGGAGUAGGCAGAAAAAAUGUCGGCUAAAGAUCGGAGUGGUCCUUAUUUUUUGCUUUCUGGCGAUGGCGCCAAUCUCAGUACUUUCGGAGCUGAUAGAAAAAUCUCUGGUGAGAGAGUACGAAAGCAUAUUCCGGCUGCUGGCCCAACUUUCGGUUGGAACGAUUACCCCGAUGUUCGCCGUCGUAUUUGUUAAAACUUUCCGGGAAUUCUGCCACUUCGAACGCGCGUUGAAAGAGACUUCCGACUUUGCUGCGUCGUAUACUCCGAAGCUAGCGGCGGAGAAACAGAGAGAUGGUCAGCGCAGCGUUCAGAUCUUCAUGAGGAUUUCCGGACUGUUUUUCUACAGCACAAUGCUCGGCUGGUUUGUCUACCCUAUCUACUCCUAUUGGAGUAUGUACCCGCAUGUCGACUACAGUCAACUUCACUUGUUCUUCGGCGACCAUGAUUUCAGUCUCGAGCGAAGUCGAUAUUUCUGGUAUCUACAGGGUGUUUCGUUCAUCAGCGCCACGUUCAUGACGACAGUGACAUUGCUGCAUUACGGUCUCCCGAUCAGGGCGUUCAUGCUCAUUGAGACCCAGGUCCACAUCCUCAUCGGUUCGCUGAGGGCCACAGCUGCAGCUCUCAACCGUCACGCAAUGUCUCACCGGGUCCAGUUCAAAGUCUCCGCCACGGAUCAUGACGUAAAGGACCGUCACGCACGGCUACGUAACAGCAACCGGACCGCCUCACCGGAAGCUUUUCCGAUACGGAUAAAGGAAGCGUCAGAGAACGCUCAUCCCAGCACCUCUCUCGGGUCCUUGAAGGAGCAUCAAAAUACGGGCAGUGUAGCUCUGAGAUAUUGCAUCAUUCACCAUCAAAAAAUUCUCAGAUUGUUGAGGCAGCUCAAACACUUGCUUGCUCCAGUUUUGUUUCUAAAAGUAUUCAGUUCAUUUGUCGCUUUCACCAAUACAAUAGUAAUUAUUGCCUCGGUAAGUAACAGAAAAUCACAAAAUAUAUUGAAUAGGUACUUUGAUUUUUCUAGAUGCCCUAGCUUCCCGACGAGUUUAA
rnacentral:lncRNA from 1 species